CUCUGUGACUCCUACGGGAGGCAGCAGUGGGGAAUUAUUGCACAAUUGGGCGCAAGCCUGAUGCAGCAACGCCGUGUGAGUGAAGAAGGUUUUCGGAUCGUAAAACUCUGUCCUAAGGGAAGAAACAAAUGACGGUACCUUAGGAGGAAGCCCCGGCUAACUACGUGCCAGCAGCCGCGGUAAUACGUAGGGGGCAAGCGUUAUCCGGAAUCACUGGGCGUAAAGGGUGCGUAGGCGGCUUAGCAAGCCAGGGGUGAAAGGCAUUGGCUCAACCAAUGUAAGCCUUUGGAACUGUUAGGCUUGAGUGCAGGAGAGGUAAGUGGAAUUCCUAGUGUAGAGGUGAAAAUUCGUAGAUAUUAGGAGGAACACCAGUGGCGAAGGCGACUUACUGGACUGUAACUGACGCUGAUGCACGAAAGCGUGGGUAGCGAACAGGAUUAGAUACCCUGGUAG
rnacentral:rRNA from 1 species